rnacentral:rRNA from 1 species
UAGGGAAUCUUCGGCAAUGGACGAAAGUCUGACCGAGCAACGCCGCGAGUGUGAAGAAGGUUUUCGGAUCGUAAAACUCUGUUGUUAGAGAAGAACAAGGACGUUAGUAACUGAACGUCCCCUGACGGUAUCUAACCAGAAAGCCACGGCUAACUACGUGCCAGCAGCCGCGGUAAUACGUAGGUGGCAAGCGUUGUCCGGAUUUAUUGGGCGUAAAGCGAGCGUAGGCGGUUUCUUAAGUCUGAUGUGAAAGCCCCCGGCUCAACCGGGGAGGGUCAUUGGAAACUGGGGGGCUUGAGUGCAGAAGAGGAGAGUGGAAUUCCAUGUGUAGCGGUGAAAUGCGUAGAUAUAUGGAGGAACACCAGUGGCGAAGGCGGCGCUCUGGUCUGUAACUGACGCUGAGGCUCGAAAGCGUGGGGAGCAAACAGG